rnacentral:tRNA from 1 species
GCCUGGCUGGCUCAGUCAGUAGAGCAUGUGACUCUUGAUCUCGGGGUCAUGAGUUCAAAUCCCACGUUGGGCA